UGAUAUGUAAAGUUCUACAAGAGGAACUUGAUGGGUGUGAUGAAGUUGUGGAGGCUGACAUUUUCAUAGGCUACCUGAAAUAAGCCAGAUCCAUGCUCAAGAGAAGUAAUUUUUGGGUACAUGUCAGAUGAAUGAUGAGUGGACAUCAGGAAGAUGAGGUUUAAUGCUUAUUUAUAUCUAUUUUGGUGGUGUAUGUGAGAUUUGUCAUCUUAAAUGUCACUAUACUGUACAACAACUACUGCAGUACCUAGAGGCCACAACCAAAUUAUGGCUCCAUUGUGCUAGGCAGUCUUCAUACACAAAGUAAAAUACAGUCCCUGUCCUAAGGAGCUUCCAGUUGGAACAUAGAAGACAAAGGAAUGCACAGAAAGAUGAAGUGACUUGCCUAAUAUCCACAAGAGAACAAUGGCUGAACCCGGAUCUCCUGAUUCCCAAACUAGUGCCCUAUCUACUAGACCACACUACCUCUUUGCAUGUUCAAUAUGCUAAGUUUUUUUCUAUACAUAUUAUAUUAAACAUACCUGCCUCUACCCAAC